ACAUGUAUUGUCAUUAUUUACAGUGAGCUAUAUCUUAAAAGGAAAGAUACACCUUCCAUGUCACGUACUAAAUAAACGCAUACAUUUCAAUGUGUUCAAUAAAUAAGUGGACAAAAAUAAAAUACUCCUGCAGUAAAUGGUAUAUUUCAUUUACUUCCUAUCAACAAAUUAAUAUAGAACACCAUUUUCAUCUCUACCCUAGAUAUUAAAGCCUAUCACAAUUACAUCCACAACCCCUAAAUACUAAAUCCUAAAUCCUAGUCACUAAAGCCAAAACCAAAAUAUAAAUCCUAAAUCCAAAUAUAAACUCUAAACCCAAAUAGAAUGAAGUAAAAUAAAUAAUAUAAUACAUAUUUACAAAAUUAUGAAAUGUCUAGGCUUGCAUGUAAGAAGUUAAUAAUGGUCUCAAUCUCAACCUCCACCUUCCAAAUACUAAAUACUAAACCCUAAACCUUAAUCACAAAAUCCUAAACCCAAAUAUAAAUCUUAAAUACCAAUAUAAACCCUAAACUCAGAUAGAAUGGAACAAAAUCAAUAGUACAGUACAUAUUGGUGAAAUUAUGAAAUGUAUAUGUUGACCCCAACCUCAACCCUCACCUUCCAAUUACUAAACCUUAAACCCAAAAUCACUAAACCCUAAAUCAAAUUUAAACCCUAAACCCAAAACUUAAAAUAGUGCAUAAUAUUAUGUAAUAUGAAACUAUACAAUGUAGAUCACCGAAAUAGUAUUAUGUAUUAUUAAACCCUAAACCUUAAAAGAAAAUAUAAACUGCAACCCCAAACCCACAAACAGUAAAGCUUUUUAAUAAAAAAAAAUAUAUAUUUCAUAUCAGCAAAAUAGCAUAGGAUUCUAACCCCACUCACAACCACUAAAUACCGAACCCAACAACAAAACAUAUAUCAUGCAUUUCACAGUAAAAUAAUAUAAACCCGAUCAACUAAUCACUAAACUCUAAUCCAAUGUAAACUCCAGUUUUCCAUAUAAUAAACCCAAAUUUCGAAAUGCCGGUAAGAUGCAUUACCAUUCUAUAUGAGACAUAUAUAAUAGAAAAUGUGAAAAUGUAGUUGCAAUCUAAAGAUCUAUCGUACCAUAUUUCUCAAAUGUUGAUAUGGCUAUGCCUUCAUGGAAGGUGGUAAUGCUUGAUCCAUUGUCAAUCCCAAUCGUACAUAAACUAAACUCAAUCAACUAAUCACUAAACCCAAUCAAUUAAUCACUAAUCAAUAAAUAGAAUAGUACAAAUUGAUGAAAUUAUGAAAUAUUUAUGAUUGCAUGUAAGAAGUUAAUGCUGACCCCAAUUCCAACUACCAACUACUAAAUAUUAAACUCUAAACUCUAAAUCCUAAUUACUAAACUCUAAACCUAAAUAAAUAGAUUAAGCUAAACCCUAAUCAAGGAAGUAUAAACCCAAAUAGAAUGUAUAUAAGAUGGUUUACUAUACCAAAACCUUUACUUAGUAAAUCUAAAUCCUAGGC
rnacentral:lncRNA from 1 species